rnacentral:rRNA from 1 species
GACGAACGCUGGCGGCGUGCUUAACACAUGCAAGUCGAGCGGUAAGGCCCUUUCGGGGGUGCACGAGCGGCGAACGGGUGAGUAACACGUGGGUGACCUGCCCUCAGCUCUGGGAUAAGCCUGGGAAACCGGGUCUAAUACUGGAUAUGACUCAUGACGCAUGUUGUGGGGUGGAAAGCCUUGUGCGGCUGAGGAUGGGCCCGCGGCCUAUCAGCUUGUUGGUGGGGUGAUGGCCUACCAAGGCGACGACGGGUAGCCGGCCUGAGAGGGCGACCGGCCACACUGGGACUGAGACACGGCCCAGACUCCUACGGGAGGCAGCAGUGGGGAAUCUUGCGCAAUGGGCGAAAGCCUGACGCAGCGACGCCGCGUGAGGGA